rnacentral:rRNA from 1 species
GACAGAGGUGGCAAGCGUUGUUCGGAUUCACUGGGUGUAAAGGGUGCGUAGGCGGUUUGGAAAGUCAGAUGUGAAAUCCUGCAGCUUAACUGCAGAACUGCAUUUGAAACUCCCAGGCUAGAGUAUGGAAGAGGUAAAGGGAAUUCCCGGUGUAAAGGUGAAAUCUGCAGAUAUCGGGAAGAACACCAGUAGCGAAGGCGCUUUACUGGUCCAUUACUGACGCUGAGUGCACGAAGGUGUGGGGAGCAAACGGG